rnacentral:ribozyme from 1 species
AUCUUUUCGCAAACGAAGCGAGAGAGAGAGAGAGAGCACAAAAAAAAACAACACAACAUCGCGAGGUUUGGCUCUUCCCUCUUUUUUUCUUAUUUUGUCUUUUUUC